rnacentral:rRNA from 1 species
UGGGGAUGACGUCAAGUCAUCAUGGCCCUUACGACCAGGGCUACACACGUGCUACAAUGGCGCAUACAAAGAGAAGCGACCUCGCGAGAGCAAGCGGACCUCAUAAAGUGCGUCGUAGUCCGGAUUGGAGUCUGCAACUCGACUCCAUGAAGUCGGAAUCGCUAGUAAUCGUGGAUCAGAAUGCCACGGUGAAUACGUUCCCGGGCCUUGUACACACCGCCCGUCACACCAUGGGAGUGGGUUGCAAAAGAAGUAGGUAGCUUAACCUUCGGGAGGGCGCUUACCACUUUGUGAUUCAUGACUGGGGUGAAGUCGUAACAAGGUAACCGUAGGGGAACCUGCGGUUGGAUCACCUCCUUA